rnacentral:sRNA from 2 species
CACCCCGUCAUCUGGGGAGUAGCCAGCUGGCGUCUGUGCAAGCGGACCGUCAGUGCCCUGUCGUCAACAUACUUGGUCGAGAGACCAUGGCGCACAGGAGAACGGGCAACCGUUCGGGCGAGACCAAUGGCGUUGCAGCUCCGCUCGGCCGGGCGGGUUCUGCCACGCUAUUGUCUUGUCUGUCGCCCG